AUGUCAAAUGUAAAGUUAGUUGUUUCAUUUUCAUUUUUAUUUUCUAGAAUCAUUCUCUCAAAUAUUGCAAAUAUUAUCUUUAAAAAUCCUAAGCAUGGGCGGCAAGGGGAAAUCCUGCGAAUGCACUCUCGAGACUAAAGUUCUGUUCUUUUGCAUUUGGACAAUAGUUACUGGAUUAUUCGCCGCAAUCAUCAUUGGUUCACUCAUCCCAAUGGUUAUAAAAAACAAUUCAGAACAUUUGGGGUUUUUCGUUACCCUCCUGGUACUCGCCGUUAUUGAGAUGGUGGCCGGGAGUUGUAUGACCAUUGCUUUCUAUAAAAAAAUAGCCUGGCUGUUUAUGGUCGGGCUUGUAUUUAGUUCUUUUUAUCCAUACUGUGCCUUUAUUUUCCUGGUUCCGCUGAUUAUGCACAUCGUUUUUACCGUUUAUGCGUGCCAAUAUUUUUUCAAAAUGCGAUCAGAGGGCUAACUACAAAUUUUACCUGACAACGAUCCCUUCCGUCGCAAUGGAUCUCGAUGGGACCAUUUUAAUAUGUUUCGAAUUAAACAAGACAAAUUUACCAUAAUUGAUUGAUGUAUAGAGCGUAAAUAAAUGGAUUUUCGUGAUGAGCUUGUUAUUUUUAUCAUACAUAGUGAUGGCACGAUUUAUGAAAUGAUUCAGUGCCAGUAGUGCGCCUAUUUCCUGAAGCGGGUGCUACUCUAACGGAGAGAGAACAGAAUAGCCACCGUUAGGACUAGAGAUUUAACAAUUCCCAUGUAGGUCCACAGAGCCCAGAAUAAAUGCGGAGAUUCAUUUAUGAUUCCAUAAUGUGCCAAAUAUUUAAAAAAAAUUCGUCCAAAGUGAGCAGUGUUUAUAUUUUCAAUAUACGUUAUAUGUGUUAUUUUGAAAUUGUUGGCGUCAUCUCUCAUUUUUUGCACAUUUACAAAAAUGGGAUGCGAGUGUACUCUUGAGUGUAAAAUAAAGUUCUUUUGCAUUUGGAUAAUAGUAACUGGAUUGGCAGCGACACUACUACUUAGUUGGACCGUACCAUAUGCUAAGCAAGAGACGAACUCUGAAACCAUGUGGUGGUGCGUUUUCUUGCUUGUACUCGCCGCUAUUGAGGUGGUGGGUGGGCUUCUUAUGUUCGUUGCAUUUUAUAAAAAUAUAGCCUGGAUGUUUAUGGUUGGCCUUGUACUAAGUUCAUUUUAUCCAUACGUUGUAUUUGGACUCGUGGUUCUCAUGGUUAUCCACAUCGUUUUUACAAUUUAUUCGUGCCAAUAUUAUAAGACAAUGAAUAAAUAAGGCGCUAAAUGAAAAUUUAACGUGACUGCGAUCCCUUCCGUCGCAAUGGACCCCGAUGGGAUUUAAUAGUUAUAAUUAAACGGAAUUAACCACAAACGUAUUCAUAAAAUUGUUUAGUAUAAGUGAUGUAAGGAACAUAAAUAAAUGUUGGAUUUUA